rnacentral:rRNA from 1 species
AUACGGAGGGUGCAAGCGUUAUCCGGAUUCACUGGGUUUAAAGGGUGCGUAGGUGGGUUGGUAAGUCAGUGGUGAAAUCCCCGAGCUUAACUUGGGAACUGCCAUUGAUACUAUCAGUCUUGAAUACUGUGGAGGUCAGCGGAAUAUGUCAUGUAGCGGUGAAAUGCUUAGAUAUGACAUAGAACACCAAUUGCGAAGGCAGCUGGCUACACGAAUAUUGACACUGAUGCACGAAAGCGUGGGGAUCAAACAGG